rnacentral:rRNA from 1 species
CCUACGGGAGGCAGCAGUGAGGAAUAUUGGUCAAUGGACGAAAGUCUGAACCAGCCAUGUCGCGUGCAGGAUGACGGCCCUAUGAGUUGUAAACUGCUUUUAUACGAGGGUAAUACCAGAUACGUGUACCUGUUUGCAAGUACCGUAUGAAUAAGGAUCGGCUAACUCCGUGCCAGCAGCCGCGGUAAUACGGAGGAUCCAAGCGUUAUCCGGAUUUAUUGGGUUUAAAGGGAGCGUAGGCGGUUUUAUAAGUCAGAGGUGAAAAUUCGGGGCUCAACUCCAGACGUGCCUCUAAUACUGUAUGACUAGAGAAUAGAUGCGGUAGGCGGAAUGUAUGGUGUAGCGGUGAAAUGCGUAGAGAUCAUACAGAAUACCGAUUGCGAAGGCAGCUUACCAAACUGUGACUGACGUUGAGGCACGAAAGCGUGGGGAGCAAACAGGAUUAGAUACCCGGGUAGUC